rnacentral:rRNA from 1 species
AUGUGGGUGUACAUGUACAUAUCGUCCGACCGACAGACCAGCUUAAUUCUAUCAUCAUCUAUUGAUGCAUUCAUAUCGAUUCUCCGCCGGUCCGACGGGGUCGCUCCAUGCGUGUCGCGUGGCGCGGUUGGACGAGUUUCAUUCAUUCUGUUAGCGCGCGUGGGCAAGCGGCGGGCCCGUGCCGCGUCCGGUGCACGGCGACGACGUAGGCGCCGUAUGGGCGGCACAUGCGACGGAUGCGUGGUGGCACUCCUACGGAGUAGUAGCGUGUGGCCGCGAAAGACGCGCGGCGCCAUCGAGUGCGCCGCGCAGCAGCCCGCCCGCCCAUGCCCGCCAUUGGGUUUUGCGUGUGAGUUCCCUCCACUUUGCCUUGGGCCCGGGGAUUCACCAUUUCGUGCUGGGGAGAAGGAACCGCGACCACGCUACACGCCGCAGCUUCCCCUUUGCCUUGGUAGGGUUUUCGCUUCUGCCCCGCACGCACCCGGCGCAGGCGCAGGCGCCGGCCCUGGAGAGGAACAAACGCAUCCAUGCAAGGGUACCUCUCAACCUGCAUUUUAUGCGCACAUCGUUUCAAUUUUUUCACCGAUUCUCGUAUGCAAUUAUAGCUGGCCCAGCUCGCGGCACAGUGCUGCCACAGCGCCUUCAAGUACGCUCUGCUACUACCACUGCUGCAUCUCGUCGCGAUUCAUUGCGCGGUCCUGGGAAUUCUGCGGCCUCAUCGCACCAGAUCCUAUGCCUGGCACUGCGCACCCACGAUGCAUAGAGGCCAGAGCCAUCUGCCCUGCGCUCACAGCGACCAAAUUAUGGCAAUGUGGGUCGCCCAUAUUGGUCCAACCCUUGAAAAGAAUUGUGUUGUGUUAUUCGCCAGGAGUAUAUAUCUAUAAAAACACAAUUCUUUUCAAAAAAAAAUAUCUGAAAAAAGAACACAAGUUUUUAUCAUCGUUUCCGUGCGCAGAUGUGAGCUCAAGCAUUCCACAAUAA